GUCCAGGGAUGGGAAACGAACCUACAAUGUUCCGCUUACCGGGCAGAUGCCAUGUCCACUAGGCUACCCUGGA
rnacentral:tRNA from 1 species